CAGUAGCCGCGGGAAUACGUAGGUGGCAAGCGUUGUCCGGAAUUAUUGGGCGUAAAGCGCGCGCAGGUGGUUUAAUAAGUCUGAAGUUAAAGGCAUUGGCUCAACCAAUGUAUGCUUUGGAAACUGUUAGACUUGAGUGCAGAAGGGGAGAGUGGAAUUCCAUGUGUAGCGGUGAAAUGCGUAGAUAUAUGGAGGAACACCGGUGGCGAAAGCGGCUCUCUGGUCUGUCACUGACGCUGAGGCUUGAAAGCGUGGGUAGCGAACAGGAUUAGAUACCCGCGUAGUCCCUGUCUCUUAUACA
rnacentral:rRNA from 1 species